GACGAACGCUGGCGGCAUGCCUAAUACAUGCAAGUCGAGCGGAUGAUGAAGAAGCUUGCUUCUUCUGAUUUAGCGGCGGACGGGUGAGUAACACGUGGGCAACCUGCCCUGUAGAUUGGGAUAACUCCGGGAAACCGGGGCUAAUACCGAAUAAUCCAUUUCCUCUCAUGGGGAGAUGUUAAAGACGGUCUCGGCUGUCACUACAGGAUGGGCCCGCGGCGCAUUAGCUAGUUGGUGAGGUAACGGCUCACCAAGGCGACGAUGCGUAGCCGACCUGAGAGGGUGAUCGGCCACACUGGGACUGAGACACGGCCCAGACUCCUACGGGAGGCAGCAGUAGGGAAUCUUCCACAAUGGACGAAAGUCUGAUGGAGCAAUGCCGCGUGAGUGAAGAGGUUUUCGAUCGUAAACUCUGUUGUGAGGGAAGAACAAGUACGAGAGUAACUGCUCGUACC
rnacentral:rRNA from 1 species